rnacentral:misc_RNA from 1 species
UUUCCGUAGGUGAACCUGCGGAAGGAUCAUUAAUAAUUAGUGUUCUCUGGAGCUUCUUAUAAAAUCCAUAUGCACCUUGGGUGGAAGGUUAUGAGACCAGUUAUUGUAACCGUUUAGGAUAGGGAAGGGGGAACCUUUACAAAAAACCAACACCAACUUAAAAUUUAUUGUCUGAAUAUUUGCAAUCACGAUUUUUGUUAUUUCAAAAAUACAACUUUCAACAAGGCAUCUCUUGGCUCUUGUAUCCUCGAAGAACGCAGCAGAUCGGAAGAGCACAUU